AGAGUUUGAUCCUGGCUCAGAGCGAACGCUGACGGUACCCUUAACACAUGCAAGUCGAACGAAAUUUUUGGUACUUGUACCAAGAGUUUAGUGGCAAACGGGUGAGUAACACGUGAGAACAUGCCCUUUAGAGUGGAAUAAUUCUUGGAAACAGGUUGUAAUACCACAUAGUCCGAAUGAAAUAUUCGGUAAAGAUUUUAUCGCUAAAGGAUUGGCUCGCGCUAUGUUUGUAGUUGGUGAGGUAAUAGCUUACCAAGCAAUGGCAUAUAGCUGGUCUGAGAGGACGAUCAGCCACACUGGGACUGAGAUACGGCCCAGACUUCUACGGAAGGCAGCAGUGAGGAAUUUUGGACAAUGGAGGAAACUCUGAUCCAGGGAUACCGUGUGAGUGAUGAAGGUCUUCGGAUUGUAAAGCUCUUUCAGUGGGGAAGAUAAUGACGUUACCCACGAAAGAAGCGCCGGCAAACUCUGUGCCAGCAGUCGCGGUAAUACAGAGGGCGCAAGCGUUGUUCGGAAUUAUUGGGCGUAAAGGGUGCGUAGGCUGUUUUAUAAGUCUAUUGUAAAAUAUCGAGGCUUAACCUCGAAAUCGCAAUAGAUACUGUAAGACUUGAGAUCGGGAGAGGUAAAUGGAAUUUCUAGUGUAGGAGUCAAAUCCGCAGAUAUUAGGAGGAACACCAGAGGCGAAGGCGAUUUACUGGAACGAUACUGACGCUGAGGCACGAAAGCGUGGGGAGCAAACAGGAUUAGAUACCCUGGUAGUCCACGCCCUAAACGAUGAGAGCUAGAUGUAGGAGAUUUUCUUCUGUGUCGCAGCUAACGCAAUAAGCUCUCCGCCUGAGUAGUAUAGUCGCAAGACCGAAAUUUAAAGGAAUUGACGGGGACCCGCACAAGCGGUGGAACAUGUGGUUUAAUUCGAAGGUACGCGCAAAACCUUACCAGCUCUUGACUUGUUAGUUAUAGACCUAAGUAAUUAGGUUGUCACGUUAUGGUGGACUUUCACAGGUGCUGCAUGUCCGUCGUCAGCUCGUGUCGUGAGAUGUUUGGUUAAGUCCUAUAACGAGCGCAACCCUCAUCCCCAGUUGCUAACAGGUAAUGCUGAGUUCUUUAGGGAGACUGAUAGUGAAAACUAUAGGAAGGUGAGGAUGAUGUCAGGUAACAUGGCCCUUAUGGGCUGGGCUACACAUGUGUUACAAUGGUAGUCACAAAGAGAAGCAAUUAGGCAACUAUGAGCAAAUCUUAAAAAACUAUCCUAGUUCAGAUUAAUCUCUGCAAUUCGGGAUUAUGAAGUUGAAAUCGCUAGUAAUCGUUGAUCAGAACGCAACGGUGAAUACGUUCUCGGGUCUUGUACACACCGCCCGUCCCACUAUGGGGUUGGUUUUUCUGGAAGUUAGUGCUCUAACCAGUAAUGGAGGAAGCUACCCAAAGAAAGGUUAAUAACUGGAGUUAAGUCGUAACAAGGUA
rnacentral:rRNA from 1 species